AAUCGAUAUAUAUUGCAAAUCAUGACUUGGAAUUUCGGUUAAACAUUCUUGAAAGUGUUAGGGAGGGUUUAGCAUCCACGGGUAAACAACUUAGCGCUGAGUCUCAACACGUUCGGUAAAAUGACGCCAUGCUAUUAUAGGCCCUACUGGCUGUAUACAGUUUUAUAGGACUGGAUCCUAAAGAUGUAGGGCUCAGCACUGCUGCCUGUAGUUGGUGCUAUCUUACCUUAAGUGUUAGGCUCCACGAUAAGUUGUUUUUUCCCUGUCGAAAUCUGAAUAUCAGUAUUUUUGACCUCGAAUCGGUUUGUUUUCUUGAUUAAAAAAUUGAGGUUUCCACCUGGAGGCACAUUUUACUCGACCUCUCCUCAUCUGUGGUUCACUAUCAGGAGAGGUUUUAAUCUUUCUCUAUUGUUUGUCUGUUAUUUAUAACGCAGGAAUAUAGCUGGCACUACGGCGUAACUGACCUAUCCUCGCGUGUAAUUAGUCAUUGCCUGAGGAACUGGGAGAAGCGUCUCAUAACUUUCAUCGCAACUCAGCAACUUUAUGUCAAUGACGUCCGAGUAACCCAUCCAGUUAGCACUAUCCACCCAACGAAAACACCUCCGAACUAAACGACAGAGAGUGGAAGGGGAACAAAGUUGCAGUUUUUUACGCGUUUUCUACCAUGCAAUCAGAGAGACUACAUUUCAGAUAUCCCGAACCGGGCACCGACCUAAACAACAGUCAACUUAAAAAUAAAAAUCCCGCGGGAGAGGACGAAUAUACUUCGCCGAUCUUUCUUCUGUUGGAUCAGAUUGGAAUCAUAUUCUUGUGGGAGUGCAGAGUCUGCGAAUUUUCAUUUCUAUCACGGCUCCCUUGGCGUGGGAGGAAAGAAAACAUUACAUUCUGAAAAAAGAUCGUAACAAAUAUACAAAUGUAAAUCGAAUUUUCUUUCUCUACCAACGGCAUUUGUCUUCAAUUAAUAUGUCUCAGAAUAAUCCAAGUGGGUGGGGGUUUGUGGUCAGGAUGUGAUUAUACUAAUAUCAAUUUGAUUUUUUAGAAAUAUCUUCUGUCUAAGAGUUUGCUAUUUAUUGCUUUUAAUAGGUAGAAAAAUCCGAGAGUUUCAGUUAGAAACUCCCAACAAUGGAGCUCUUGAAUGUGUGAGAGAUUUGCGAUUGAAGUUUUUGCCGAACGUAAAAUUUUGCGAGAGAUACAACGGUGCCACUAGUUUUCUCUGAAAUCAACUUCAAAGCUCAAAAACGAUCUUAAAGUUGAAGCCGUGAUGGAGGGGAUAUCCCACGAUACCCUGAGAGUUCAUCUCUAUAUCAAGACAAACUCUUAAUGCAAAUAUAGGAAGCAAAUACAACAGGUUUGCCACCAUGUUCGGGGACUCCAAAACUGAAAACACGGCAACCCUGUUAAUGCAUUUGCUCCCAUGCAAUCUUUGCAUAAAGGGUCUGUCUUGAUAUCGUAAAAAUGCUUAAAUCGCAAACACCUCACGCAUACAACAGCUCCAUUUCCCGGUGAACAUUCCAUUUUACAAGUGAAAAUGUUGCAAUUUGAAAUGUCGUUACGUUCUUUUGUCUGGAAAACAACGAAAUUUAAAAUCAAACUGAAUUAAUGGUGAUUUAAAGUUUGUCUUUCCAAGAACAUGACCUUGAGAGAGAGGGAGAGAGAGAGAGGGGGAGAGAGAGAGAGAGAGAGAGCUAUCUUUACUUCUAAUUUGCCAUAUUAAUGCACAAAAAGGCGAAAUCAUAAUGGAAAUUUACGGCUUCAAUCGGCACAAUUUUGACCCAUUCAGAAACAAUUAUCUGCACUGAAAUGUUUCCAUGUAUCAUUAAAACAGUACCUUUUUUUCAUGUUUAUUUAUUUUUAUUUUAAUACCUUCCUUACAUGUUUGCACAGUCCCAAAGCAAAUGAAAGCCGACUAGAAGAUUUACGU
rnacentral:lncRNA from 1 species